CCUGUUCUGGAACGUGAAGAUGGACGACGUCGGGAGGUUCUAUGCUAUUAUCACAAUCCCGGAGGAUCUCGAUGCACAUAUUAUUUUCUAUCCUCACUCCACCGGUAUUCGGGAGUCGAGGGAUUGAGUGGAGCUUCAGUCGGCUAACAGGUUAGUUUUUCCGUUAUGUUUUUUCCCUGACUCCACGGGUAUUCGGGAGUUAAGGGAUCGAGACAAACCCUUAGUCGGUUGGUACGACUCCCCGAUCAGGUACGAUUACAAGCUCUGAUCUUUUUUUACGAUUAUAGGAACUGUUAUAUUUCCCUGAUAAAAGAGUAAGAGCCUAGUUCCUGGAUCAAAGACUAGAGCCUUCAAUUUCUGAUCGGACACUAGGGGCCCAGCUCCCCGCUCAUACACUUGGGACACAGCUCCCCGCUCAUACUCUAGGGGCACAGCUCCCCACUCAUACACUUGGGACACAGCUCCCCGAUCAUAGACUUGCAGUACCACUUCCCGAUCAGGAUCUAGGGGCCUCGUUCUUUGAUUACGGGCUAGGGAUCUUAUUCUCCGAUUAGGGACCAGGGGCCCAGUUCCUCGAUCAUGUGUGCUACAGGCUCUGCACCCUUCACCAUGAGGCUCUGCAUCCUCUUACUGUUAUAGUCUCUGCACCCUUCAUCAGGGGCUCAGCAUUCUCUACUACUAUAUGCGAUUCAUUUUAUUAUUAUUAUAUGCUUUGCAUUCUCCACUUGUUUUGUAGCCUCUUAUGUCUACAAGCUCUGCUUCUUACACUCGCGAGGCUCUGCUUCCUGCUAUUAUUACGGACUCUGCUCCCUCAUAUGGCUAUGGACUUCACUUCCUUUGACAGUCAAGGCACAAAUUAUUCUCUCCCUGACUCCGCGGAUAUUUGGGAGUCAAGGGAUCAACACUAUUUAUCCACUGACUGUAUGAGCAUUUGGGAGUUGAGCCAAGCCAGCCAGUUGACGUCACUUCACAAUCAGGCACGCCACGUUUGUUCGAUUUAGAAGACGCAUGAAGAUGCCGAUUAACAAAUGAAGCCAACGAAGAUUUUGAAUGGAGUCGGUUGCACCGCUGAAUUAAGAUAAUUGCGUGAUUAGGGAAUGGCACUAACGCGAACCACGAGAAAAUGGCGUCGCGUCACCGCAGCACGUGACCGCCGAAAGGGAAGGGCGAAAGUAUCUCGCUAGGCGUCGCUGUCGCACCGCGUCCGAGAACCUGAAGUGGGGCACCUUUUGGUGUCUUUUGUUCGCUGCCUUUUUUUGUAUCUAUCUUUUUGAGCUUUGUUUACGGGUAAGUGAGCUUUGAUUGCCAAUUGAUUGUACCUAUCAACCAACACAUUCUUCUGCUUAA